AUUGAACGCUGGCGGCAUGCCUUACACAUGCAAGUCGAACGGCAGCACGGGUGCUUGCACCUGGUGGCGAGUGGCGAACGGGUGAGUAAUACAUCGGAACAUGUCCUGUAGUGGGGGAUAGCCCGGCGAAAGCCGGAUUAAUACCGCAUACGAUCUACGGAUGAAAGCGGGGGACCUUCGGGCCUCGCGCUAUAGGGUUGGCCGAUGGCUGAUUCGCUAGUUGGUGGGGUAAAGGCCUACCAAGGCGACGAUCAGUAGCUGGUCUGAGAGGACGACCAGCCACACUGGGACUGAGACACGGCCCAGACUCCUACGGGAGGCAGCAGUGGGGAAUUUUGGACAAUGGGCGAAAGCCUGAUCCAGCAAUGCCGCGUGUGUGAAGAAGGCCUUCGGGUUGUAAAGCACUUUUGUCCGGAAAGAAAUCCUUGGCCCUAAUACGGUCGGGGGAUGACGGUACCGGAAGAAUAAGCACCGGCUAACUACGU
rnacentral:rRNA from 1 species